rnacentral:lncRNA from 1 species
GAGGAAUCUUGCAAUCUGAAUAAAAACAUCUUUGGGCCUCAUUUGCGCCCCAGGCCCCCCAGGCUCCGCCAGGCUGGGGGGUGGAGGUGCAGGCAGUGGUGGAGAGCUGAGUCCUGGACUGGCCUAGGAGACCCCAGUCCUGGCUGCACGGCCUCAACCACGUGACUUGGAGGGGCAGCUCCUCCUCUUGACACCCCAGCUGUUCACCCGCACAGCCUGGAGCCCACCCUGCUGUCGGGGCUGCGGUGAGAAUCUGCUGAGGGCCUGUGUUGCAGGGUCUGGUGUCGCCCAGGGAAGUUCUGCACCAGGUCGAAUCUCCAGGCCUCCUAUUGUGUUUUAAUCACAGUCUACCUGUCUAGACCUAGUGUGUCCUACAGGGUGUGCGGUGGCCAGGCCCCAGGGGGCCCCAGGGACCCUCACCUCCCAGCAUCUGUCACCUCCUGCCCUCCCGUGGGCUUCUGGGCUUGGUCUGUGCAACCCACAGCCCUUGGUGGGAGUGUUGGUGUGUGGCUUCCUGGGCGCCCGGGGCCCCUCGGCGGGGCUGGUUAGAACCGGUGCUGUGGCACAGACAGCAGCUGGUGCCAGGUGGCCCUGGCCGGAGACACUCAGGGCACAUGGACGUGCAAAGACAGCAGGCGGCCGAACACCUGUCACCGUCCCAUGUCACGUAAGGGGAGCAGUGCACAUCGGCACUGGCCGUGUGAGCCCGUGGUGUGUAAAUUCCUCCAGGGAACAGGUUCACCAGCCCUGCGGAGAGCCGUGCGUGCAGCUGGCACGGGGGGUCCCUGAGAAGAUCCUGGCCCUGCUGUGCUCGACUCCGCGGGGGACGCUCAGCCCUCCUCGACAGAAGGAAGGAGCCCCUGAAGGCAAAGGGCCCGGGGCCCCCAGGCAUCGCGCCCUGUGCGGAGGGUCCUGGCCAUUGAGCAACAGCAAACUGGGGGCGCCGGGGAUGCGGAUGAAGGACACCCAGAAACUGGCAGGAAU